rnacentral:rRNA from 1 species
GUCCACGCCCUAAACGAUGCUCACUAGGUGUUGGGGAAGCGAUUCCUUGGUACCGUAGCUAACGCGUGAAGUGAGCCGCCUGGGGAGUACGGCCGCAAGGUUAAAACUCAAAGGAAUUGACGGGGACCCCGCACAAGCGGUGGAUGAUGUGGAUUAAUUCGAUGCAACGCGAACAACCUUACCUACCCUUGACAUGUCUGGAAGCCUGCUGAAAGGCGGGUGUGCCUGAAAGGGACCGGAACACAGGUGCUGCAUGGCUGUCGU